CCUAUCUGCGACGCUAUAGCUUUGGGUACUUUCAGGACCCGUCUUGAAACACGGACCAAGGAGUCUAGCAUGUGCGCGAGUCAUUGGGACAUAACUAAACCUAAAGGCGCAAUUAAUGUGAAGGUUCGCCUAGCGCGAACCGAGGGAAGAUGGGCGGUCCUCGGUGGCCGCCUCGCAUUCCCGGGGCGUCUCGUUCUCAUUGCGAGAAGAGGCGCACCAAGAGCGUACACGCUGGGACCCGAAAGAUGGUGAACUAUGCCUGGUCAGGACGAAGUCAGGGGAAACCCUGAUGGAGGUCCGUAGCGAUUCUGACGUGCAAAUCGAUCGUCGGAACUGGGUAUAGGGGCGAAAGACUAAUCGAACCAUCUAGUAGCUGGUUCCCUCCGAAGUUUCCCUCAGGAUAGCUGGCGCUCGUUGCGUACGAGUCUCAUCCGGUAAAGCGAAUGAUUAGAGGCCUUGGGGUCGAAACGACCUCAACCUAUUCUCAAACUUUAAAUGGGUGAGAUCUCCGGCUUGCUCGAACAUGAAGCCGCGAGAAUUAUGGAUCAGAGUGCCAAGUGGGCCAUUUUUGGUAAGCAGAACUGGCGCUGUGGGAUGAACCAAACGCCGAGUUAAAGCGCCUAAAUCGACGCUUAUGGGAUACCAUGAAAGGCGUUGGUAACUUAAGACAGCAGGACGGUGGCCAUGGAAGUCGGAAUCCGCCAAGGAGUGUGUAACAACUCACCUGCCGAAGUUACUAGCCCUGAAAAUGGAUGGCGCUGAAGCGUCGUGCUUAUACUCGGCCGUCAGCGGCAUGUGCGAUCGUCGUCUCUCUUUCGAGCGACGAUCAUGAAGCUCUGACGAGUAGGAGGGUCGCGGCGGUGUGCGCAGAAGGACUGGCCGCGAGGCCGUCUGGAGCCGCCGUCGGUGCAGAUCUUGGUGGUAGUAGCAAAUACUCCAGCGAGGCCCUGGAGGACUGACGUGGAGAAGGGUUUCGUGUGAACAGCCGUUGCACACGAGUCAGUCGAUCCUAAGCCCUAGGCGAAAGCCGAUGUUGAUGUGGUGUCGUUUAUACUAGCGAUUGUGUAGUUCAGUGUGCUCACACCCAUCGGGCGAAAGGGAAUCCGGUUCCUAUUCCGGAACCCGGCAGCGGAACCGUCACCAAUUCGGGCCCUCGCAAGAGAGUUCGUCGGGGCAACCCAAAAGGACCCGGAGACGCCGUCGGGAGAUCCGGGAAGAGUUUUCUUUUCUGCAUGAGCGUUCGAGUUCCAUGGAAUCCUCUAGCAGGGAGAUAUGGUUUGGAACGCGAAGAGCACCGCAGUUGCGGCGGUGUCCGGAUCUUCCCCUCGGACCUUGAAAAUCCGGGAGAGGGCCACGUGGAGGCGUCGCGCCGGCUCGUACCCAUAUCCGCAGCAG
rnacentral:rRNA from 1 species